CUUGCCAUGCCUCCAGGUACCUCCCCCAAAGCUCCCGUUGUCCACAAUUCCCUGUUCCCAGCCAAUGGGAGCUGUGGGGGGCAGUGCCUGGAGGCAAGGGCAACACACAGGGCCCUCUCUGCUGCGCCGCCCACCCCCUCCCCAGCCGCAGGGAUGUGGUGCUGGCCACUUAGCGCAGGGCCUGCGGCACCACAGGGAGCAAGUCCUGCAGGCUGGAUCCUUCCUGCAGGCCAUAGUUUACCAACCCCUGAUUUAUGGUGUUUGAAGAAUAUUUCAAUAUUUUAUUUUGGAAACUUCAGUAAAAGAGUAACUAACUUAACAGUGGAUAAAAUUUGUCAACUUAUGUGGCUCUAAUGCAUCCCCUGUUGAAAGGGGCCUGGGUUCAUAUUUUGUUAAGGAGGAAAUGUAAAUGGCUGUUCAGGUAUUAAAACUUUUUUGCGUUCUCAAGCCCUGGGUGCUGAAAGCAGUCUCUGAACUAGGCUGAAUAACAAAGCAGCCAUCAGUAGAUCAAAAUCCUGAUGCAUUCUAGUGUGUCAAGGAUUUUUGAUCCUAAAUAUGACAUCUCAUUCAUUUGACUGAUACCCCUCUUCUCCUCCCUCACCCCCUGGCCCAUUAAAACUGUCUUAUUUUUUGAGACAAUUUUGCUUUCCCUUCCACCUUACAAUAGGGCUGCAGUCUAAUUCUGGGCUCUCAAGUCAGAGCCUUUUGCCUAUUCCAACAAAAAGGAGCUGUUGCCCAAAUUAAGGAUAGCUGUACAGCUUUCAUUUUGUUUAGCUAGUGGUGUCUAGGUAAGAUACUUUCACUCUCUCAGAUCAUCUAAAGGCAAGGAACAAAGCUUCUAGGCCCUCUCUCAAACUAGAGAACUAUCAUGUUUUAAACAGUUACAUACUGAACUAUAGGAGCCAAGCUGACUUGUAUUCUGAGCCAGAUCUACUUUACCACAGUGUCCUGAACUAAAACUACUUUAUUCCUGAGUGAGAGAUCCACUCAAGGGUUUUAACACCUUUUAAUGUAUGUGCAUUAACUUCAUACCUUCAGUUGACUUGCCUUAUUGUAGACAGGGCCUUAGGCUUUGUCUACACUAGCCCUUUUGCCAAUAGGGGUAUGGAAAAAACAUACCCCUGAUCAACAUAAGAUUCACUGACAAAAGUGCCAGUGUGAACAGUGCUAUGUCAGCAGGAGAAAUAGCUACCACCACUUGUUGGGUGUGAUUUAAUUAUGCCAGCAGGAGAGCUCUCUCCAGCAGCAUAGCACAGCUACAUGGGAGACCUUACAGCAGCACAACUGUAACAGUACUGCUGUGUCUCUAAGGUCUGUAGUGUAGAGAAAGCCUUAGAGUGGUAACUUACCACUAUUUUAACUAGGUUUAUUUGCCACUUAAAAAUCUACUCAUUAAAUCUCAAAUCAGCAAUUAUUCUCUUUUCACUUCUAAAAGAUUUUGUUUGUUUCAUUAAUAUGUACUGUUUGCAUUUGUAGUUCAACUUUGAAACUACUUUUCAGUGGUUACCAUUCCAGAGUGACAUGCUGGAACAAAUUCACAUGCAUAUAAAGGCAUAGCCUACAGUUGUUUUUAGGCUCUAUUUUUAAACUUGUUCUAAUAGGUUGAGCAAUGUUUAACAAGUUGUAUUCCACAAUCCUGUUGGUUGAAGGAAAAAAAACACGCUUCAUGUAGGAGCCAGUGUGUCUGGAUUCAGCCAGCUAGCUAGCCACUCUGUUUCCUUAAGCUCUAGUGCUGGGACUACUGAUCCUUGUCCUUAAAGACAACUAGAAGAGCUAUGUUGAUUUCUGGUACAGAAGGGAGAAAAUGACUGAAUAGUUUUCAGAGUAGCAGCUGGUUUGUCUGUAUCCACAAAAAGAGGAGUACCUGUGGCACCUUAGAGACUAACAAAUAGUGUUGUCUUUUACCAGUCAAGUGACUAAAACUUUAUUCUAAAAAAGGAAGAGGGUUACUCCUUUUUUUAAUUUAAAAAAAAAAAAAAACCCACACCUAACUUUAUUGCGUGCAAAGUGCCAAAUCUCACAUUUAGGUAUAACUAGUUCUGUUUAUAAAAGCAAGGGAAAUUCCUUUGUUUAGCCUACAUGCUCAUUUGUCUUUUAUUAUCCACUGCUACAAGUAUUGUGGAUCUGAGCUUUAUUAAAAAAUGAUACAUUUACAGUUGUGUAAUCAUGCUGUGCAUUAAUAGCUACUGCAUUUUAGUAAAAUGGAGUGCUUUAAGGUUCAUUAUGAUGAAAGGUAACUGAAGGCUACCUAAUAAACUUCAGUGGGAGUCUAAAUGGACAAUGUAAAUAUUUCAUACUGAUUCCUGUCCAGAUGAAACUUUUUUGUGAUUAAAAAAAAAUAAAAAUGCAUAGGAUUGAUCUAGGUGGUUAAGACUUAGGUUAUAUUGUACUCUAGGGUCCAUAUUCAGAUUAGACACUAAACCAAUCACCAUUAAUUCAGAAUAGAAAGACUUCUACUGAUGUGCUGUUCAACCUUGUCCUAGGCCUAGCUGCUGAGAUCUGACUGAACCUCAUCACAAGGGGAGCUGGUGAUGGAUCUCUAGAUAAUGUGUCUAGAUAAUGUGGAGUUUGUGCUUCUCUAAUGGAGACCAUCAAAGCCAAAAAACUGUUCAUGACUUCGUAAUUUUGAAUGGAUUACUUCUGUUAGUGGUUACAAUUUUUUUUUUCCAAAUUGCAAUCCAUAUUUCUUAAUAUUUAGAUCUUGCAUAAAAAGUAGGGACAGGGACUUGCAGUGCUAACAAGUCCCCUUUUUCAGAUCUGCUUUCACAUACUCCAGUGUAUAAAGUUAAGGAUUUUUAGUGGGUUAUUAGCUCCUUAAAUAACAGGAAGCAUGUGGCUUCUUGUAUGAAUUUUUUUCUAUAGUGAGAGGUUAAGCACCAAUUAUACAGACAUUGUAGCAACUGCAAGGAAACUUGCAUCCUGUUUACAAUAGCAAGUAUAUCUAAACCUGUUCAGUGAACAUUUGUCACAUGUUUGCAACAAGCUAUUUCUAAAAACUUUUCAGAUAUUUUAAUGUCACAUCUGUUCAGUGUUUGCCCUUACCGUAAUAUCUGAAACCUUUAAAGGAUGGUUUAACCUUUAAACAUUAUACAACAGCAGUGUAAAAAAAAAAAAAAAAAAAAAAAAAAAAAAAAAAAAAAAAUUUGGAGGUGGCAACUGAAAGCCUCCAGUUUGUAUGGGCAUGAGGGAAAUAGGAACUACUUGGAAAUGAUGUGCUUUGGCAAUAUGCCUUCAAGUAAUAUGUGAGUGCCCUUCAAACAUGGUUCGCUGAAGGAAAUUCUAGAUAUGGCAUUUGUUGUACUGCAUUCAACACUAACCUACAAUAGAAUAAAACCCAAAAAACAGAUUAUUCAAAAACUAAAUCUAGUAGAUAGGUAACGGUAGCAGAAAAUGUCCCUAUAUCAAAGUAGAUCUGGUUCUGCUUUUAGUUCAGUCCCUCUUGAGCACUCUUCUCAAAUCCUGAGUCUAGUCCAGCAGUCCUUGCUCCAGCAAAAUUCAUCUUGGUCUCAAUGGAAAUUUUAUCAGAGUAAAGACCCUGUCUGAAGGGCCAAAGCAACUCUGUGUUUGAUCUCUUAAUUAAAAGAUGUUUACUACUUUUGUGUAUUAAAUUUUUCCAACACUAUUAAUCCUGCUAACUUUUGGCCUCUUGGCCAGUUUGUCCUCUAUCAAUGAGUUACACCCUAAAAAGGACUUCAGUAACAGACUAAUGCUUGUAAUGUAGCUUUUACAGUGGGGGUCAGUCAUCUGCAUUUCAAAUAAUGCCUGUAGACCAGAAAGGCUCCAAAGAAACCAUUAGGGUCUGUAUACUCAUACCAUUCAUAGAAAAAUCUUAUCUAAACAAACUCUGAGGUUCUUUGGCUGUGCAGAUCAUUUUAAUUAUAUUGAGCAUUUGACUGCAGUCCCCUCAGGGCAGGGCUAAUCAUGCUGUCAGUCCUUGACAAAAUUACUUUGGUCCACAUUGUACCGUCUGCUGUUGGGGUGCAUGAUACAGUGAGCCAGAGAAUCCUGACCUUAAGGGUAUGUAUGGAAGGGGGGGUGUGACCACAUCUACACUAAACUUUAGCUGCCUUGGUCAGGGUGAUCUGCAUAGCUGUGCCAGCAGACAUCUCUAGUUCAGAUACUAUUAUACCAGCAGAACUGCAUUUUGCCAGUAUACCUUAUUUUGCUGGAGUGGGACUGGGAUAAUGUGCAGUUCUGCUGUUACAAGCUGCGUACACACUAGGACUGCUUUGCUCGUAUAGCAUACUUUAUACUAGGAGCAAUUUACUAGUACAACUUGGCCUGAGUCAUUUUAGUAGGGUUUUUCCAUCUUACUCCAUGGAAACUCCUUUGUGAUCCAGGUUAAAAUAAAGUAUAGAUGAAAGGGAGUGAUGCAAAAUACCAUUUUCCUUCUCUCCCUCAAAACUUCCAUAGUUUAAUGUUUUUCCAGCCAACUCUUACUCAUCCGGUCUUUGUGCUGAGGAAGGAUGCUUGGUGUAGCAGCUGAUUGGCAGCUCUUGUCAGUAGCUUCUUCAGGACCCCUAUUGCUAGAUCUGGGAGCUGGUGUGAAGACACAGGGCCUCAAGCCUGGUAACUUAUGCCUCUGAUUCUUGAAUUGAUCAGGUGUAGACUUUGCUCACUGAUGCACAUUGUGACAUAGUGCUCCCUGUAUAAAAGGAACUCCUGAUAUUAUGAACCAAUUUAGCUUUCAGAUUGGUAUACUUUUCUUUUUUUUUUUUUUUUUGAGACACUUGAUAACUUUUGGCAGCUUAAUAUUAAGGGAAAAAACACAAGAGGUGUUGGAACAUUUUCAGCUUUUUUUAGGCCCCCAGAUUUGUGGGGAUGGGGAUUAAUUCCUAAUAUUAAGGGAAGUGUUUCCAUUAAAGUGUAUUUUACAGUUCUCUCCCUAAAACAACUUUACUCAGUUAAGUGCUGAAUAUCACAAAUAUCAAGUAUGAGUCCGCAUUAACGGGUAGAUUUUUUUUUCAAAAGGCCUCAGUUCUCAUAAUCAAAAUGAAUUUUCAAUAUAACUUAUGCCGAACAUAGUAAGUUAUUGAAAACCUGUGUGUAAGUAUCAAUAGGAACUUGCAGAGGCUGAGCAGUUCUGAAAAUUUGGCCUUUAUAUAGGUGUCCAAAAUGAGCUGAGCUCUUUAGAAAAAUCUAGCUCUCAUCAAAAAUUAUUUUCACUGAUGUGAAGAAUUAAAUUUCUUCAUGGUAGCGAUACCCCAGAAUGCAUAAUUGGGAUGUCAAAGACAGAAGGAAUUAUUGCCCUAAAAUAAAAGUAUCAUUUACUUGAAUUUCCAUCUGUCUGAGGAAUAGGGCCCAAUCGAUAUAGUCAUUAAGUGCUAGCCAUGGAUUUGCUCAGUCAAGCAAGUCUGCCUGGUAGCUGUGACAUUCUUGUAUAAUAUAUUCAAGUUGCAGUGGAGCUGUUUGGCAUGACAUCAGUUUGUCCAAAGGUGGGGUGGGGGAGGAACUUGAAUAAACUUACCUGUGGACUUGCUUUUUAGUUUUGCCGUCUAGGAAACUCUGCUAUAUUGAAUAGCACCAUAAAUCAUGCAUUCUGUCUAAUACUGAAACAAAAAUGGUCUGAUUUAUGCAAAUAGCUAAUAACUUGCGGCUUACAAAGCUGACUGAUUUUAAAAACCAUUUGCUAGGCACUUAAAAUAUUUUACUGCAUUUGAAAAAUGAACUUGCAAAUGGCAAAGUUCAUGGCCUACCCACAGCUGCAUUGCUGUUCAUAUAUCAAAUAUUACUGAGGGAUAAAAAAGAAUGUACUACUCUGUUCCUUCUGAGAGGCUAAAUAAAUUACUUGGGCAGCAUAUAAAUGCAUGCCAAGACAGUGUUGGAGUUGGUAACAUUAAUAUGACUCUUUGCAAAGUCAUCAAGAGCUUCAAAACUUCCUCAUGUUCCAAGUCCAUGCAUGCAGGGAAGAGGCCCUGCUGCAAAGGGCUUGUCUAUAUUACCUGCUGGAUCAACAGGCAGCAAUCAAUCCAGUGGGGGUGGAUUUAUUGCAUCUAGUCCGGAUGCAAUAAAUCAACCCCCAGGUGCUCUCUUGUCAACUCCGGUACUCCACCAGGGCAAGAGGCGGAGUCAACUGGAGAGCAUCAGCCAUUGACUUACCUCAGUGAAGACACCACGUAGAUCUAAGUACGUCAACUUCAGCUAUGUUGUUCAUGUAGCUGAAGUUGCAUAACUUGGAUCAAUUUUCCCUCCCCCAGUGUAAACGAGCCUUUACUGAGCUCUAGUGUUUUCUGUUCUUGGGAAGUUCACUGAUUAAGUGCAACUCACCCUGCCCCUCUCUCCAAGAGGCAAAAUGGUGUAGUGGUGUGUAUGGCAACAGUGGUUUGUCUGCACUUGGAAAUAUCAGUGUAAUGUAAUAUAACAGCCUCACUGUAAACAAGGACUGUUGUGUUUAAAAUUGUUAUGGCUAACACUUGUUUGUUAAAUCUUUAUCAUGUUAACAUGUAACAAUUAAGUUUUACAAUAUAGAGAAGCCCAGGUAUAAAGAAAGGGGAAGAAGGUGGAGAACUAGAAGAAUUAGGAUUAGUUUGUUAGGGAUUGAAUAGGCAAACUGGUCAAGACACGAGGUAAGGUUAAUAGGACAUUGUGGAGUUACUUGUGUGGGUAGAACUCUGCAAGAAUUUGGAUCGCUGUUGGAAGACGGGCUGCAAAUCAGAACACCUCUUUCAGGGUGUGGGGGGAAAUCAGACAUUUAAUUGAAGUCCUGGUGUUUGGUUGAAGUGGAAAGCAAAGCAGAUGUAAACAUAGGCAGAAAUUUAGGAAGCAUGAAAAUGGAGUAGCAUUGUACUGGUUAUGUCAUUGAGAGCCAUAUGUGGAGGGAAUCUUAUGCACAGAUGUUUUCCUCCCCUCGGAUGUGUCAUUUCAUUUACUUGGAUGAUGUGAAGGGCAGUCAAAAUGAUCUGUGUGGGGAGGAAAUAGAGGGUCUGGGGCAUACAAAUUAUUGCCUCCCCUCCUAUUUCUCUGGAGUUCAGGGCUGAAAACAAACAGAGUGGGCUUGUAUUAUUUUGCUACAUUCCUGUUUAAGAGGGAUCCUGAGGGAAGGAAGUCAUGACCACAGUAGUUCCUGACAAGCAUGGCUCCAUUUGAACCAUGCUGUCAUGGAACAGGGCUGGAGCCACAGCAGGCUGCAGAACCAUGUGGAAGGUUUCGGUCUCCUGCUGAUCCCUUGGGAGCCCUGGUGUUCAGUGGUGGGUCUUGCAGUUUGUUCAGUGCAGUGGGGUGGGGAAACCACUCCCUCCUCCUUGAGAAAACAAAUAGGAAGACAGCUGUUUUAGUUUCUCUUCUUCUCCUUCCUCCACCCCUACCCAAUCUAACAAUCAGGCUCACUGUUAUGAUAGUGACAUUUUGAUGCAUUAUGUCUAAAUACAAAACAGCUUUUCACCCCUUCUCAGAUAUCAUACUGGUACUUUGAAUUUCUAUAGCACCUCCUAUUCAAGAAUAUCAAACCACUUUAUAGACAUUCAUAAUGAAUUUAUCCACUCAACUUGCUGUGAUGUAGGUGGUAUUGUUUCUAAUUUACAGAUGAGGAAAUUGGGGAAUAAACCUAAGAAACUGGACAACUGUGGCAAGGCUGCUAACUGUUUCCUGACUCCAAUGCAUGUGCCUUAACCACAUGACCAUCCUUCCUCCUUUGUGACUAGAUUGUCUAGUGCUUGUGCAUGUACACCCCUCCAUCUGUGUACAUCCACUGUAUUUCAGUUCUGUGUUCAGACGAGUGAAUAAACUGCUCUUAGUGCCCCUAAAGGCAUGGAGAAGGGGGAGGGCAUGCCCCCUUUCCCCUACCACACACCGAGGUGCAGAGAAAGGGGAUAGUACAGCUUGCACACUCAGAGUGCUCUGUUGAGCUCCAGGGGAUUGUGCCUCUGACACAGUCCCUUCUGGAGUCCAUGGGUUAUGGCUGGUCUGCACCAUUGUGCCCAAGAUAUAAACUUGCAUUGAUGAUGAUCUGGCCCUUUAUUAUCUUUAUGGAUAUAACUAUACUAGAAGCCUAGCUGCCAUAGUGGUAUAGAUUAAAUGUACAUUCUUUUCUACUCACAUGAGCAUAAUCGCAUAUUAGCACACAAGACCUGUGAAGUACCAGCUGGCUGUACAGAUGCAACCAUUCAACAUGUAUGAGGGAAAAUAAAUUGCAAAAUAAAAAUAAAAAAAAAAUUGGUUUGACUU